UACGUAGGGGGCAAGCGUUGUCCGGAUUUAUUGGGCGUAAAGAGCUCGUAGGCGGUUCCGUAAGUCGGGUGUGAAAAAUCUGGGCUCAACCCAGUGGAGCACCCGAUACUGCGGUGACUCGAGUCCGGUAGGGGAGUGUGGAAUUCCUGGUGUAGCGGUGAAAUGCGCAGAUAUCAGGAGGAACACCGACGGCGAAGGCAGCACUCUGGGCCGGUACUGACGCUGAGGAGCGAAAGCAUGGGGAGCGAACAGG
rnacentral:rRNA from 1 species